rnacentral:lncRNA from 1 species
AUUUUUGAUUUAAAUUGAAAAUUUGAAUUGGAACAAAAAGUUUUAUUUUAAAUUUAUGUUUUAUAUUCAAAAAAAUUAAAUUUGAUUUAUAAAGUUUUAAAUGUUGUUUUGAAUUUAAAUUUGCAGUUUGGUUGUAAUUUAAAAUUCAACUAUUGUUGUAGGUAUUUAAGAGGGUCACAAUAUUCUUAGUUGAAUAAAACCGAUUUUGUGGACCAAAUUAUUUUUCAAAGACUAAAAUACCCUUUAAAUGGAUACUUGGUGAAUGGUACCUAUGCUUCAAUAGCACAGGUCACCUCUAGAAUCAUAUUAAAUUUAAACCAUCUAUUAAGAAAAAUAAAUGGUCAAGAUUUAUAUAGAGUAUUGAAGUAUUCCUCAUAUAUUAAUUAU